rnacentral:rRNA from 1 species
UACGAAGGGGGCUAGCGUUGUUCGGAAUUACUGGGCGUAAAGCGCACGUAGGCGGACAUUUAAGUCAGGGGUGAAAUCCCGGGGCUCAACCCCGGAACUGCCUUUGAUACUGGGUGUCUGGAGUCCGGAAGGGGUGAGUGGAAUUCCGAGUGUAGAGGUGAAAUUCGUAGAUAUUCGCAAGAACACCAGUGGCGAAGGCGGCUCACUGGCCCGAUACUGACGCUGAGGCACGAAAGCGUGGGGAGCAAACAGG